UACAGAGGUGGCAAGCGUUGUUCGGAUUUACUGGGCGUAAAGCGCACGUAGGCGGAUUGUUAAGUCAGGGGUGAAAUCCCGGAGCUCAACUCCGGAACUGCCUUUGAUACUGGCAAUCUAGAGUCCGGAAGAGGUGAGUGGAACUCCUAGUGUAGAGGUGGAAUUCGUAGAUAUUAGGAAGAACACCAGUGGCGAAGGCGGCUCACUGGUCCGGUACUGACGCUGAGGUGACGAAAGCGGUGGGGAGCAAACAGGG
rnacentral:rRNA from 1 species